CUUCAGGGCAGGGUGAAAUUCCCGACCGGCGGUUAUAGUCCGCGAAACCUUUAUGGUUUGAUCUGGUGAAACUCCAGAACCGACAGUAUAGUCUGGAUGGAAGAAGU
rnacentral:ncRNA from 1 species